rnacentral:lncRNA from 1 species
UUCAAAGUUGAUUUGAAGUGAGUUUGAAGUUUGACCUUUCUUUAAUAUUUUAAUUCAAGUUUUAUUUUAAAUAUUAAAAAUGCCAAAAAUAUUUUGUUAAUUUCUUGACUUCUAAUCUUCAUUUUGCUUCUGUUUUCUAUUGUUUGACCUUGAUUUUCUCUAUCUUUGGUCAUAGCUUGUUGAUCAUCUCAUUCCAUUUCAUUUAAUGCACUUUAAUUCAUCUUCUUCUUCUUCUUCUU